UACAGAGGGGGCAAGCGUUGUUCGGAAUUACUGGGCGUAAAGGGCGCGUAGGCGGCCUUCUAAGUCGAACGUGAAAUCCCCGGGCUCAACCCGGGAACUGCGUCCGAUACUGGAAGGCUUGAAUCCGGGAGAGGGAUGCGGAAUUCCAGGUGUAGCGGUGAAAUGCGUAGAUAUCUGGAGGAACACCGGUGGCGAAGGAGGCAACCUGGACCGGCAUUGACGCUGAGGCGCGAAAGCCAGGGGAGCAAACGGG
rnacentral:rRNA from 1 species